rnacentral:rRNA from 1 species
CCUACGGGAGGCAGCAGUGGGGGAUAUUGCACAAUGGGGGGAACCCUGAUGCAGCGACGCCGCGUGGGUGAAGGAGCGUUUCGGCGCGUAAAGCCCUAUCGGCAGGGAAGAAGGAGGACGGUACCUGACUAAGAAACCCCGGCUAACUACGUGCCAGCAGCCGCGGUAAUACGUAGGGGGCAAGCGUGAUCCGGAUUUACUGGGUGUAAAGGGGGCGCAGACGGCAGCGCAAGCCAGGAGUGAAAGCCCGGGGUCGAACCCCGGGACUGCUCUUGGAAAUGCGCGGCUAGAGUGCAGGAGGGGUAGGCGGAAUUCCCGGUGUAGCGGUGAAAUGCGUAGAUAUCAGGAGGAACACGGGUGGCGAAGGCGGCCUGCUGGACUGCGACUGACGUUGAGGCCCGAAGGCGUGGGGAGCGAACAGGAUUAGAUACCCGUGUAGUC